rnacentral:rRNA from 1 species
GACGAACGCUGGCGGCGUGCCUAAUACAUGCAAGUAGAACGCUGAAGAGAGGAGCUUGCUCUUCUUGGAUGAGUUGCGAACGGGUGAGUAACGCGUAGGUAACCUGCCUUGUAGCGGGGGAUAACUAUUGGAAACGAUAGCUAAUACCGCAUAACAAUGGAUGACACAUGUCAUUUAUUUGAAAGGGGCAAUUGCUCCACUACAAGAUGGACCUGCGUUGUAUUAGCUAGUAGGUGAGGUAACGGCUCACCUAGGCGACGAUACAUAGCCGACCUGAGAGGGUGAUCGGCCACACUGGGACUGAGACACGGCCCAGACUCCUACGGGAGGCAGCAGUAGGGAAUCUUCGGCAAUGGGGGCAACCCUGACCGAGCAACGCCGCGUGAGUGAAGAAGGUUUUCGGAUCGUAAAGCUCUGUUGUAAGUCAAGAACGAGUGUGAGAGUGGAAAGUUCACACUGUGACGGUAGCUUACCAGAAAGGGACGGCUAACUACGUGCCAGCAGCCGCGGUAAUACGUAGGUCCCGAGCGUUGUCCGGAUUUAUUGGGCGUAAAGCGAGCGCAGGCGGUUUGAUAAGUCUGAAGUUAAAGGGCUGUGGCUCAACCAUAGUUCGCUUUGGAAACUGUCAAACUUGAGUGCAUAAGGGGAGAGUGGAAUUCCAUGGUGUAGCGGUGAAAUGCGUAGAUAUAUGGAGGAACACCGGUGGCGAAAGCGGCUCUCUGGUCUGUAACUGACGCUGAGGCCCGAAAGCGUGGGGAGCGAACAGGAUUAGAUACCCUGGUAGUCCACGCCGUAAACGAUGAGUGCUAGGUGUUGGAUCCUUUCCGGGAUUCAGUGCCGCAGCUAACGCAUUAAGCACUCCGGCCUGGGGAGUACGACCGCAAGGUUGAAACUCAAAGGAAUUGACGGGGGCCCGCACAAGCGGUGGAGCAUGUGGUUUAAUUCGAAGCAACGCGAAGAACCUUACCAGGUCUUGACAUCCCGAUGCUAUUUCUAGAGAUAGAAAGUUACUUCGGUACAUCGGUGACAGGUGGUGCAUGGUUGUCGUCAGCUCGUGUCGUGAGAUGUUGGGUUAAGUCCCGCAACGAGCGCAACCCCUAUUGUUAGUUGCCAUCAUUCAGUUGGGCACUCUAGCGAGACUGCCGGUAAUAAACCGGAGGAAGGUGGGGAUGACGUCAAAUCAUCAUGCCCCUUAUGACCUGGGCUACACACGUGCUACAAUGGUUGGUACAACGAGUUGCGAGUCGGUGACGGCAAGCUAAUCUCUUAAAGCCAAUCUCAGUUCGGAUUGUAGGCUGCAACUCGCCUACAUGAAGUCGGAAUCGCUAGUAAUCGCGGAUCAGCACGCCGCGGUGAAUACGUUCCCGGGCCU